UGUUAAAUGACAGUACCGGCCUUCCUACAUACUAUACUCUGACUGUUCAACACCAUUCUGAUCCAGACAGCUGAAACAGCCCUUUAAAAAGCACUUUAAAGUGCUCUCGACUACAUCGCAUAAUGCUCUUCUUGAUCAUAUGACGAAAUACUGAAUAAGGGCAGAUUUUUGAAGUGUCUGCUGUCAUAAGAACUAGUGCAGUGCUUCUGGUUUGAAAUUUGAACCACCUCUGAAUGAUUUUGUUGCAGCUCUGCUACGAUUACAAGCUCACCCCAGUUUCAGAUCAGAGCAAGAUCCCAUGUCACUGUGGAGCCGCCAACUGCCGCAAGUGGAUAAACUAACAAGGAGUGACACCAACAACAACUCAAACAACUCUGAGGUGCCAAUUUACCAGAGGAGACGUGCAAAGAGGAAACAGCCAAUCCUGGAAGUUGUCGUAACGGGCGAUCAUUUUUUUAAUGUGCAAAACUAAGAGGAAAACACAACGUGAGAAUACAGCAUUGUCUCGAAUGCGUGUGCGUCACACGGGGCAGAUUUCACCAGCGAAUGAGGACGGAGAAUGAGCGCGAGCACUGUGCCGGGUAUUGCCUUAUAGGUUGAUGGAGGGGCAGGCCCAUCUGUAUGACGAGAUCUGUAGAGACUGAACCGUAGAAAUCAAUGUAGAACAUCACUGAAGAAUGUACGGAAUUGACUUCCGCAAAGGGAAAAAAACAUGUUGCACUAAAAAAAAGAAAACAAAAAAGAAACAGAAAA